AACUUUGAUUUCACAAAAUAGUCAAGAAUAAUCACACCCACUUCAUUAAAACCCCGAUUCACCAAUACAGCACUGACUUCAGUAAUGAUUGCCUCAGUCUUUUCAAAAUCCUAUGAAAAAAAAUUCCAAUUCUCUGUCUUUUUUUCCCUCCCUAAGCAUGAAGCUAGCUCUCCGACCCUUAAAACCCUUAUUCUCUCUCCUUCAUUUCUUAACCUA
rnacentral:lncRNA from 1 species